rnacentral:misc_RNA from 1 species
GCAUAAUUCAUUAGGCCAUUGUGUGCUGAAAGCCGAGUUCCCCAAAGGUAAAAAGGAGUUGGCAGUUUCCCUCUUUCAGACGGUUGUCUUAAUGCUUUUCAACGAUGCUGAGAAACUAAGUUUUCAAGAUAUUAGAGAAUCUACUGGAAUUGAGGAUAAAGAACUCAGGAGGACUUUACAGUCACUUGCCUGUGGAAAAGUUAGAGUGCUACAAAAGAUACCAAAAGGUAGAGACGUUGAGGACAAUGAUUCAUUCGU